rnacentral:rRNA from 1 species
UACGUAGGUGGCAAGCGUUGUCCGGAAUUAUUGGGCGUAAAGCGCGCGCAGGCGGUCCUUUAAGUCUGAUGUGAAAGCCCACGGCUCAACCGUGGAGGGUCAUUGGAAACUGGGGACUUGAGUGCAGAAGAGGAAAGCGGAAUUCCACGUGUAGCGGUGAAAUGCGUAGAGAUGUGGAGGAACACCAGUGGCGAAGGCGGCUUUCUGGUCUGUAACUGACGCUGAGGCGCGAAAGCGUGGGGAGCAAACAGG